UAAUUAGUUAGUCCCCACUUCACCUCCUAUAGGCCAAAUACUUAUAAAUACCAUUCAAUAUUCACAAGAAAAAAACAUCCCAAAGUAUUUUGUUCUACUACUACAUUUUUUUCAUACACAAUUGUCACCAAAAAACAUCAUGGCUGAAGAAAAGAAACAUCACUUUGGUGGUCUCUUUAACCACCACAAGAACAAAGAGGAAGACACCCCCAUUGAGAAAACUACAUAUGAAGAAACAACCUAUGAAGACAGUGAAAAAACUAGCACUUAUGGAGACAACACAUAUGGUGAAAAAACUAGUUAUGGUGAUGAUACAUAUGGCAAAAAAACUACCACAUAUGGAGAUGACAACAAAUAUAGUGAGAAAACUAGUUAUGGUGAUGAUACAUAUGACGAAAAAACUAACACAUAUGGAGAUGAAAACAAAUAUGGUGAGAAAACUAGUUACAGUGAGGGAGAUGACAACAAAUAUGGUGAGAAAACUAGUUAUGGUGGUGAUACAUAUGGCGAAAAACCUACCUCCUACGGAGGAGAUAAUACAUAUGGUGAGAAAACAAGUUAUGGUGGGGGAGAUGAAAACAAGUAUGGUGAGAAAACUAGUUAUGGAGAGAAAGCUAGUUAUGGUGGAGGAGAUGACAACAAAUAUGGUGAGAAAACAAGUUAUGGUAAUGAGGAAGGUGGCUAUGGUGGAGGAGUUGGUGCCUACUCAUCUGAGACUACUACUAAUUAUGAAGAGAAUGAUGAUAGUGGAACCAAAACUUCUGAGGAUUACAAGGAAGAGAAGAAACAUCACAAGCAUCUUGAAGAACUUGGGGGACUUGGAGCUGUUGCUGCUGGUGCCUUUGCUUUGGUAAAUAUUCUUUAAUUCUAACUUUCCACGUGACAAUGCAUAUGUAUGAGAUUACAAGAUUAAAUGACAUUUUCCUACGUUAAUCUUCGAUAUGGUAUAUGAAAAUUUCAGCAU
rnacentral:lncRNA from 1 species